rnacentral:rRNA from 1 species
UACGUAGGGUGCAAGCGUUGUCCGGAAUUAUUGGGCGUAAAGAGCUCGUAGGCGGUCUGUCGCGUCGGAUGUGGAAAUCCAGGGCUCAACCCUGGACCUGCAUUCGAUACGGGCAGACUAGAGUUCGGCAGGGGAGACUGGAAUUCCUGGUGUAGCGGUGAGAUGCGCAGAUAUCAGGAGGAACACCGGUGGCGAAGGCGGCUCUCUGGGCCGAUACUGACGCUGAGGAGCGAAAGCGUGGGGAGCGAACAGG